UCAGGCCUAACACAUGCAAGUCGAGCGCGAAAGUCUUCGGAUGAGUAAAGCGGCGAACGGGUGAGUAAUGCAUGGGAAUCUGCCUGGUAGUGGGGGACAACGUCUCGAAAGGGACGCUAAUACCGCAUACGCCCUACGGGGGAAAGGGGGGGAUCUUCGGACCUCUCGCUAUCAGAUGAGCCCAUGUCAGAUUAGCUAGUUGGUGAGGUAAAGGCUCACCAAGGCGACGAUCUGUAACUGGUCUGAGAGGAUGAUCAGUCACACUGGAACUGAGACACGGUCCAGACUCCUACGGGAGGCAGCAGUGGGGAAUAUUGGACAAUGGGGGCAACCCUGAUCCAGCCAGGCCGCGUGUGUGAAGAAGGCCCUAGGGUGUAAAUCAAUGUCAGUGGGGAGAAAGGUUAUUCAC
rnacentral:rRNA from 1 species